UACGUAGGCAGCAAGCGUUGUUCGGAGUUACUGGGCGUAAAGGGUGCGUAGGCGGUCCUAUAAGUAUGGUGUGAAAUCUCCCGGCUUAACUGGGAGGGUGCGCUAUAGACUGUGGGACUAGAGUGUGGGAGAGGAAAGUGGAAUUCCUGGUGUAGCGGUGGAAUGCGCAGAUAUCAGGAAGAACACCCGUGGCGAAGGCGGCUCUCUGGAACGCAACUGACGCUGAGACGCGAAAGCGUGGGGAGCAAACAGG
rnacentral:rRNA from 1 species